rnacentral:tRNA from 1 species
GCCCUGAUAGUAUAAAUAUUACUUUGGUUUUGUAAACCAAAAAUGAGAAGCCUAUUCUCUCAAGGCA